GGGGCUGUAACGGUUUCGACGCUUUGACGAAAGUCAUUCUGUGAUGCAGGCCGAGAGGGAGUCCACUCUCGUUAAUCCAGGCUCAAACCAAAUGUAACUGCGAACAACAUCGUUCCUUUUGCUCGCAAAGCGGCUCCUGUUGCUGCUUAAUUAAAACUCUUUCGCGAGCGUCUGUAGCCUGACUCCGUUAAGGGCUAUGGACCAACCCCAACGGAUGCACAGGUAGUUUCUCUCUGGUGGAGCUAUCUGUAAAGACCUUGCCAGAGCAUCCUACCGUCAGGGAUUAAGUGACGGUUCCCGCCUUGAGGGUUAGAAAGGCUAAGCCUGUGAAUGAAUGGGAUGUUACUACUCGAAGCGGACACGGGUUCGACUCCCGUCAGCUCCAUUU
rnacentral:tmRNA from 1 species